UUCUAAUUUUUCAAGUUUCACCUGUAAAAUUAUGCAUGGCAAAGACAUGGUGUACAUGGAGAAGUUUUUCUCCAUCUCCCAUAAAACUAGAACUGCAGGACACCCAAAUAUAUUGACCAGUAAAAAAUUUAAAAGUGGAAAGAGAAUGUGUUUCUUCAUGAAGCAGAUAAUCAACCUGUGGAAGAUGAUGGCACAAUAUGUGGCGUUCACUGCUAGUUCAGAGGGCUUUAAAGGAGACUACACCAAUUCCUAGAAGACAGGACUACUGAUGGUAACAAGCCUUGGACACAGGAUGCUGUCUGCAAGAAUGGGGACAGUCCACCUCUACAAAGCAACAGUAGGAGACAACAUCUACCUUGCUCUCUUUUUAGUGGGCUUCCUAGAUGCAUCUGGUGGGCCACUGUGUGAAAGAAAAUGUUGCCCAGAUGAACUCAGACCUGAUCUAGCCAUGAUAUUCCCAUUUUCUCAUCAGGCCUUGAUCCCACGAUCAGCUGCUUCAUAAAAUCAGAGACCUAAGCUUUGAAAGAUUUGAAUAUAUGUUUAAAAGUAAUCUAAUUAACAACUCUUUAGUGCUGGGGGGACUGCACUGUGAAGCUAGAAUGAUGCAUUCUCCUAAUUCUCCAUGCAUUGACUGAUUAUGUGCCAUGAAGACAACGUUGAGUAUUACUGACCACAUAUAUAGAUCCCUCCUGCCCCGGCCAUUUGUAUCCUCAUCCAAAGAUCUGGGCUGCAUACAUUCCCUCAGGGGGAGGAGGAGGAAGAAUAGGAGAAGUGUUUUCUUCAACUCUUUCUCUGAACUCCCUUUUAAUCUCUCACUUCAUGAAGUUUAUUUACUUAGGCUCUCCAUCUGACAUUCACUUUAUCUAUCCUCUCGCUGAAUAUCACUUUAUCUCCCAUCCCUCAUCAUACUCCUUUCCCUUCCAGUUCUCAUGGCUGCAACUUCUAUCACAAGGUAGGGAAACCAGUGACUCAUAGGAGUAGGGGAGGGAAAGAAAAACAAGUGUUGGCAAGUCCCCUCACUUCUGUUAUGUCAACAAAGAGGGAGCGGGGAAAGCUGCAUUUCUCUCAGCUCCAAAUCCCAACCAAUAUUCCAGUGCAAUGGGAGGACUUGCAGCUGGCCCAUGAAGACAACUAACAAUUGGCUGCCCUAACACACUCCUCCUGACAUUCCCAUCCUCAGAAGCAGAUUGAACUUGGUGAAAUAGCCACAAACAGUGCAAGCAACACAGUCCUAAAUUACAUGUGCUUUAUCCUAUGACAGGUAGGUUGAAUCAGGGCACGUGGGGGCUUUCAGGAACCCUUCAGAGUCUCAUUAAGAGUCCUUUUAAACAUGGAGCAAUGGUUCCCAGGUAGAAGGCAGACUUUACAACUCAAAGUCUCUCCAAGGAUCCGUUGCAGCACUGAGGCUGAAGGAUAAAGCUAAAUACUUAUUUCUCCAGGAAAUUGGAAAGUGUUUGAAAAAGGACUGUAUGAAUAGAAGACAGUGAGAAAGAUGCUUUAGAUGCCAGCCAACAGGCAGCAAAUGUUUUUCAAUAGCAGACAAUUUCACGGCAGGGAUUUACUUGGUGAUACUGGGGAAUAUGGCUGAUUCCAAAUAGGAAAUGAGCUCUCUUUGCCUUUAUAGAAGAAGACAAUGCUCUCAAGCUGGGUGAUGGCGUUUCCCUGGCUGGUUUCUCUGAGGACUUUCUCCAUAGCACAAGAUUCAGCCCUGGAAGAAGUCUGGAGAGACUGGAAGAGGACCUACGGAGGAAGAGCCUUUCCGGAGAGUCACAUGGGAGAAGAAUCUGCAGUUGAUUGAGCAGCACAACCGUGAGGCUGUUGAGGGGAAACAAACCUAUUGGAUGAGCAUGAACCAGUUUGGCGAUUUGACCAAUGAAGAACUUAACCGCACGAUGGGCAGCUUUCAUCCUGAUUCCGUUGAUCCACACAAUGCUUCUGAAGACUUUUCCCAAGCACCAGCCAUUCAGCAGAUGCCCAAGCCCGUGAAACGGCGCCACAGACAUUAUGGCACUUCAAGAAAAGACCAGCUGGCUCUCGCCUACACCAGAAAACUGGGCAAGCAGCGUUCUGAAAAUUUUGCAAAGCUUUGUCUAAUAUCCAGCAACGGAACCAAGAAGCUGUUAGGACGGAGGUGCGGGUGUAUAAGCCGUUAUCGUCGUCGUUGCCAGAAGUGUUGCAAGCUUGCUUAGUAGAGUCAGGCAAGGCUGUGCCUCAGGAUCACUCACAAUAAUGUAGCAGGAUUAAAAGAAUCUAGAUUCCCCCAGGGCCAGAGCUGCCUCUUGCUUUUUUGCUCUAGUACUUAGUUUCCUAGUAGGUCUGGCAUGUUGUCUAACCUUUUUUAAUAUAUUAACAAGCCCAUCAGAAAAAUGGUAAAUACAGAACCAAAUGUUUAGUAAGACAAGGGGAAAAUAGCCUGAAGGCAGGACUUUGGGAGGUAUCUGUAGGCAUCCCGCUCCCCCCUUUGUGGUCUGUUUAUUAACAAUCUUUCUUGUUAAUAAAAAGGCAUUUUGGACUACAGCUUCCUUUUGCCGUCUCUGAGAAAGCAGAUAAGACGUUCUUUUGACUAUGCCUUGUUGUAGAUUUCAGUCUAGACUUAACCUCAAAUUAUUUUCUUACUUCAGGCUAUUAUAUUUGGUUCCUAAACCUUUGAUAUUAGGAUUUGUUUUUUUAAGCUUUAGUUCAUUGCUUGUAUUAUAUUUUUUAAUGGAAAUUCAAUCUUUGUUUCAAAUCUCUUCUGUAUUAUUCUAUCUGGAUCUUCCUAGACAUCUCUGGAUUGACCUUUUCCAACUUCCAUCCUCAUAUAUUGGACUUUCUCCAAAUUUUGUAAUGGAUUAGCUACUCUAAGUUUUGAUUUAAUUCAUUUGGGCUACUCUGCUGUAAAACCAAAUUUGAGAGGGAACCAGACUUAACAAAUAGUACUGGUAUUAUGUAGCAGUACAAUAGUUUCAGAUAAUAAAAAAAAAUUGCUGAUUUUGCUUGUCAUAAUUAUUACAUAUAGACAAUUCAUUUCAUGGUUACUAUUACUUUUUUCCUUAUAAAAAAUAAGUUUAUUAGAUCUAUGAAGCAAUCUGAAUAUAAAAGGCAAACUGUGAUUUGGAAAGUGCAUGGGUGUGCACACAGCACAUAUUGGGAAUACCUUACCAAACACAUCUUUUCCUGGAAUUGUGUGCAUAGCUGCACAAUCCCAGGAAAAGACACAGCUGCAUUAGGGUUGUGUGUAUAUCUGUGCACACACUGAAUCAUAUUUUGCCUUUUGAACCUGGGGUGUUACACAAUCCUAUAUAGUUUAUUACGAUGCUGUAAUUUUUGCAGGGUAAAACCUUACUUUGGAUUAUGUAGAGUGCUUUUGCUUUUCUCCCACCUGAAUUUCACUUGUGUAUAAUUAUAAUGGACAGAUCUUAAUGGAGAAAAUAUAUCUAUGUGGUUGUUAAGAGUCGACACCGACUUGAUGGCACAUAGUUAAUCGCUCAUUAUAGUUUUACCUGUAAUAUUUUUGUGCAACAUCUUGUUUUUCAUAAAUGGGAAUGCAUUUUUUGCUUUGAAUUUUGAAAUAAAUGUUUGAAAUGGUACACUUGUUCCAACAGUCAUA